GCUGAUGAUGAUGUAAUCCAAUUAAAUGAGGUGUAGUGGAUCCAAGUCCCUGCUUUUGCAGGGUGAACCUCUUGGUGAAACUACAUUACAUAUGAUUAUAUUGGAUUUUACUGAGGC